AUUGAACGCUGGCGGCAGGCCUAACACAUGCAAGUCGAGCGGAUGAAGGGAGCUUGCUCCUGGAUUCAGCGGCGGACGGGUGAGUAAUGCCUAGGAAUCUGCCUGGUAGUGGGGGAUAACGUCCGGAAACGGGCGCUAAUACCGCAUACGUCCUGAGGGAGAAAGUGGGGGAUCUUCGGACCUCACGCUAUCAGAUGAGCCUAGGUCGGAUUAGCUAGUUGGUGGGGUAAAGGCCUACCAAGGCGACGAUCCGUAACUGGUCUGAGAGGAUGAUCAGUCACACGGGAACUGAGACACGGUCCAGACUCCUACGGGAGGCAGCAGUGGGGAAUAUUAGGCAAUGGGCGAAAGCCUGAUCCAGCCAUGCCGCGUGUGUGAAGAAGGUCUUCUGAUUGGAAAGCACUUUAAGUUGGGAGGAAGGGCAGUAAGUUAAUACCUUGCUGUUUUGACGUUACCAACAGAAUAAGCACCGGCUAACUUCGUG
rnacentral:rRNA from 1 species